rnacentral:rRNA from 1 species
GAACGCUAGCGGCAGGCUUAACACAUGCAAGUCGAGGGGCAUCGGGAGUAGCAAUACUGCCGGCGACCGGCGCAAGGGUGCGUAACGCGUGAGCAACAUGCCCGUAUCAGGGGGAUAAUCCAUGGAAACGUGGUCUAAUACCCCAUAGUAAUUAUGUAAGGCAGUCUUAUAUAAUUUAAAGCUUUGGUGGAUACGGAUUGGCUCGCGUGACAUUAGCUAGAUGGUAAGGUAACGGCUUACCAUGGCUACGAUGUCUAGGGGUUCUGAGAGGAAGGUCCCCCCACACUGGAACUGAGACACGGUCCAGACUCCUACGGGAGGCAGCAGUGAGGAAUAUUGGACAAUGGAUGGAAAUCUGAUCCAGCCAUGCCGCGUGCAGGAAAGACGGCCCUAUGGGUUGUAAACUGCUUUUGUAUGGGAGCAAUAAGGGCUACGCGUAGUCCGAUGAGAGUACCAUACGAAUAAGCACCGGCUAACUCCGUGCCAGCAGCCGC